rnacentral:lncRNA from 1 species
AAAAAUCACAUGGUGUAAUGGAGUCUGUGUAUCUUUCUACGACUCAUCUACACACGUUGAUGACCGGCACCAACAUUGUUGGGUUAUGUAUGCCUAUUCCAUUAUGGUUGUGGUACUUGGGUGUAUAACUAUUCAUGUCGAUCUGGGUUCUUUGACAUAUGAUUGCUAGCGACAUAUUCAUAUACGGGAGCGAAAAGACACACAUGGUCCCGACCAAGGUAAGGUGGCACCCAUGGAUCUUACCUUGUGUGAGUGUUGCAAAUAAAUAUCAUGUGUUAUGUGGG